UACGUAGGGCGCAAGCGUUGUCCGGAAUUAUUGGGCGUAAAGAGCUCGUAGGCGGUGUGUCGCGUCGGCCGUGAAAACCUGCAGCUUAACUGUGGGCUUGCGGUCGAUACGGGCAUCACUGGAGUUCGGCAGGGGAGAGUGGAAUUCCUGGUGUAGCGGUGAAAUGCGCAGAUAUCAGGAAGAACACCCGUGGCGAAGGCGGCUCUCUGGGACGGUACUGACGCUGAGACGCGAAAGCGUGGGGAGCGAACAGG
rnacentral:rRNA from 1 species